CUCCGAAUUACAAAAUGAAAAUACUUAUUGACAGUUAACGUAAAAUUAAAAUAUCUUAAUAAAUUCUAUUCCUUUCUAUAGAACGACUGUUACACUUUUAAAUUGUAGCACUGAAUACUCCAAUAUCCAACAUAAUAAAAAUCCGGUUAUCCGUGCUCGUGUUCAUUCAUUCGUAAACUGGUUAGUGAUGGUCUAGUGCAUCAACAACACCUUACUUCUUCCCACUACGAGUAACCACGGAUUUUCCACGAAUUGAAUCAUAACAGUUUUUUCGAUAUAUCGUUUAAUGUUUAAAGCGUGGAACUUCAGCCGUCUGUCCCCCAAAUUAAACAAAUCCCAUAUGGACUGCCCUGGAAUGAAGUUAUGAUGGUUUAACCAUUACAUCUGGUGCAGAAGAAAUGUACGACCUCGACGUCGCUGGGGAAGAAUACCUCGCCUUGCCAUGUAGAACCGGAUUGUUGAUAUUGGUAUGUUGAAGAUGUCAGACACAUUUUGGAAAGUCAUGCCCUUCUGGACACAUUCUGCUGC